CUGCCUCCGCUGCGGCGAUGGCGCCAGUGAAAAAGCUUGUGGUGAAGGGGGGCAAAAAAAAGAAGCAGGUCCUGAAGUUUACUCUUGACUGUACCCAUCCUGUAGAAGAUGGAAUCGUGGAUGCGGCCAAUUUUGAGCAGUUUCUUCAGGAAAGAAUCAAAGUGAAUGGAAAAGCUGGGAAUCUCGGAGGAGGUAUUGUAACAAUCGAAAGAAGCAAAAGCAAGAUCACUGUAACUUCCGAGGUGCCUUUUUCCAAAAGGUAUUUGAAAUAUCUCACCAAAAAAUAUUUGAAGAAGAAUCUCCGUGAUUGGUUACGCGUAGUUGCUAACAGCAAAGAAAGUUACGAAUUACGUUACUUCCAGAUUAAUCAAGAUGAAGAAGAGGAGGACGAUGAGGAUUUAAACUCAGUUAUCUGGAGUAUUUUGUAUGAAUUCUUAAAUAAAAUUUAGGAAACAAACAAACAAAA